UACGAAGGGGGCUAGCGUUGUUCGGAAUUACUGGGCGUAAAGCGCACGUAGGCGGUUACUUAAGUUAGGGGUGAAAUCCCAGGGCUCAACCCUGGAACUGCCUUUAAUACUGGGUAUCUUGAGUUCGAGAGAGGUGAGUGGAAUUCCGAGUGUAGAGGUGAAAUUCGUAGAUAUUCGGAGGAACACCAGUGGCGAAGGCGGCUCACUGGCUCGAUACUGACGCUGAGGUGCGAAAGCGUGGGGAGCAAACAGG
rnacentral:rRNA from 1 species